rnacentral:rRNA from 1 species
GACGAACGCUGGCGGCGUGCUUAACACAUGCAAGUCGAACGAGUGGCGAACGGGUGAGUAAUGUAUGGGGAUCUGCCCGAUAGAGGGGGAUAACUACUGGAAACGGUGGCUAAUACCGCAUACUAUCGGAUGAACCCAUAUGGGAUUAGCUAGUAGGUGGGGUAAAGGUUCACCUAGGCGACGAUCUCUAGCUGGUCUGUGAGGAUGAUCAGCCACACUGUGACUGAGACACGGCCCCGACUCCUACGGGAGGCAGCAGUGGGAAAUAUUGCACAAGGGGCGCAAGCCGGAUGCAGCCAUGCCGCGUGUAUGAAGAGGGCCUUAGGGUUGUAAAGUACUUUCAGCGGGGAGUCGUUACCCGGAGAAGAAGCACCGGCUAACUCCGUGCCAGCAGCCGCGGUAAUUC